rnacentral:misc_RNA from 1 species
AAGGAGUCUAACAUGUCUGCGAGUGUUUGGGUGGAAAACCCGAGCGCGGAAUGAAAGUGAUAGCUGGGAACCCCUUCACUGGGAGGCACCGGCGCCCCGAGCUGACCUUCUGUGACGCAUCGGAGGUAGAGCAUAUAUGUUGGGACCCGAAAGAUGGUGAACUAUGCCUGCAUAGGGCGAAGCCAGAGGAAACUCUGGUGGAGGCUCGUAGCGAUUCUGACGUGCAAAUCGAUCGUCAAAUGUGGGUAUAGGGGCGAAAGACUAAUCGAACCAUCUAGUAGCUGGUUCCUGC